rnacentral:rRNA from 1 species
UACGAAGGGGGCUAGCGUUGUUCGGAAUUACUGGGCGUAAAGCGUGCGCAGGCGGUUUUGUAAGUCAGAUGUGAAAUCCCCGAGCUCAACUUGGGAACUGCGUUUGAAACUACAAGACUAGAGUAGGUCAGAGGGGGGUAGAAUUCCACGUGUAGCAGUGAAAUGCGUAGAGAUGUGGAGGAAUACCAAUGGCGAAGGCAGCCCCCUGGGAUCAUACUGACGCUCAUGCACGAAAGCGUGGGGAGCAAACAGG